rnacentral:rRNA from 1 species
GACGAACGCUGGCGGCGUGCUUAACACAUGCAAGUCGAACGGAAAGGCCCUGCUUGUUUGGGGUUCUCGAGUGGCGAACGCGUGAGUAACACGUGUGUAACCUGCCCUAGUCUUUGGGAUAACUUCAGGUAACUGGGCCUACUCCCGGAUCGCAUCCCCUCCUGCAUGGAGGGGGUUGGAACGUCUCGGCGGGUGGGGAUGGAUGCGCGGCUUAUCAGUUUGUUGGUGGGGUAGUGGCUGACCAAGGCUUUGACGGGUCGCCGGCCUGAGAGCGUGACCGGCCACAAGGGGACUACGGUAGGGCCCAGACUCGUACGGGAGGCAGCAGGGGGGAGUAUUGCACAAUGAGAGCGAGCGGGUUGCAGAAGCGCUGCGGGCGGGAAGAUGGCUUGUGGGGUGUAAAACGCAUCAGGCUGUGACGAAGCGGGAGUGACGGUAAUGGGAAAAGAAGCACCGGCUAACUACGUG